rnacentral:rRNA from 1 species
GAUGAACGCUAGCGGCAGGCUUAACACAUGCAAGUCGAGGGGCAGCGCGGGAUAGCAAUAUCCUGGCGGCGACCGGCGGAAGGGUGCGUAACGCGUGAGCGACAUGCCCGUUGCCCGGGGACAACCGGUGGAAACGCCGACUAAUCCCCGAUGGGAUAUUGUGCCGCAUGGCACGAUAUUGAAAGUUACGGCGGCGACGGAUUGGCUCGCGUCCGAUUAGCUGGUUGGCGGGGUAACGGCCCACCAAGGCUGCGAUCGGUAGGGGUUCUGAGAGGAAGGCCCCCCAAAAUGGGACUGAGACACGGCCCAUACUCCUACGGGAGGCAGCAGUGAGGAAUAUUGGUCAAUGGGCGGAAGCCUGAACCAGCCAUGCCGCGUGCGGGAAGGAGGCCCUAUGGGCUGUGAACCGCUUUUGCCUGGGGGCAAUAAGGGCGUCGCGCACGUCCGAUGAGAGUACCAGGCGAAUAAGCAUCGGCUAACUCCGUG